rnacentral:lncRNA from 1 species
CAAAAACAUAUGGAGUUAAAUUUAACUUUAUAUCGAGAAAAAAUAAUCAUAUCAGAAUGUAGAUAUUAAUUAUCUAGCUGUUCAGACUCAUCAUACAGAAGAAUUUGUACGGUAAACGCGUAUUUGUCUGUAAAAGACUCACACAUGACGGUCGAAUAAAAAUGUCCAUAUAAAGUACGAAGUUGAAGAGCGUAGAUGAACCAAAAUUCACGAUUUUUUUUUUCAAAUACAGCUAAUACCAUCUAUUCCUGGGGGUAGGAAAUAUUCAAAGUUUGGUAAACAGUUACAAAAAGAUUAACAACUGUGUACAACACACUACAUAGGUAACGAAAGAUUAAACAAGAUGGAACCCUCUGAAAUUGUUCCGACAGGAUUCACAGAUCAUUAUCUACUGUACAUGUUGCACCCUUUGUCUUGCUUAUGUAAGUAAAAACCUUGUCAUAAGUCAAAUUCAGCAGGACUUAUUUGAUCAAGCGUUGUCUCCCAUAGACCUAGAACUAUAACGAUUUAUGUAAUUUCUCCAGGUCACAGUGGCACCCAUAACAACUAUGUUUUGUCAACUAUAACUUGGUUUAUAUCAGGUUAAUUAGUGUAAAUGUGUAUUCAUG